rnacentral:rRNA from 1 species
GACGAACGCUGGCGGCGUGCUUAACACAUGCAAGUCGAACGGAAAGGCCCUGCUCUUGUGGGGUGCUCGAGUGGCGAACGGGUGAGUAACACGUGAGUAACCUGCCCUUGACCUUGGGAUAACUUCAGGAAACUGGGGCUAAUACCGGAUAGGAGCUCCUGCUGCAUGGGGGGGGUUGGAAAGUUUCGGCGGUUGGGGCUGGACUCGCGGCUUAUCAGCUUGUUGGUGGGGUAGUGGCUUACCAAGGCUUUGACGGGUAGCCGGCCUGAGAGGGUGACCGGCCACAUUGGGACUGCGAUACGGCCCAGACUCCUACGGGCGGCAGCAGUGGGGAAUAUUGCACAAUGGGCGGAAGCCUGAUGCAGCAACGCCGCGUGCGGGAUGACGGCCUUCGGGUUGUAAACCGCUUUCGCCUGUGACGAAGCGUGAGUGACGGUAAUGGGUAAAGAAGCACCGGCUAACUACGUG